CCUACGGGUGGCAGCAGUGAGGAAUAUUGGUCAAUGGACGAGAGUCUGAACCAGCCAAGUAGCGUGAAGGAUGACUGCCCUAUGGGUUGUAAACUUCUUUUAUAUGGGAAUAAAAUGUUCCACGUGUGGGAUUUUGUAUGUACCAUAUGAAUAAGGAUCGGCUAACUCCGUGCCAGCAGCCGCGGUAAUACGGAGGAUCCGAGCGUUAUCCGGAUUUAUUGGGUUUAAAGGGAGCGUAGGUGGAUUGUUAAGUCAGUUGUGAAAGUUUGCGGCUCAACCGUAAAAUUGCAGUUGAAACUGGCAGUCUUGAGUACAGUAGAGGUGGGCGGAAUUCGUGGGGUAGCGGUGAAAUGCUUAGAUAACACGAAGAACUCCGAUUGCGAAGGCAGUUCACUGGACUGCAACUGACACUGAGGCUCGAAAGUGUGGGUAUCAAACAGGAUUAGAUACCCUGGUAGUC
rnacentral:rRNA from 1 species